ACUGAAGUUUCUGUGGUUAUUUUCCUUGCAAGAUGCUGCUGCGUUUUGAAAAAAGAACUGCUUUGGGAAUGUUUUGGAUUACUUUUUUUUUUGGUAUCUCUCUGUAGAUAAGUCAAAAAGAAAAUGCAAAAUGAAGGAAGACUCUGCAAGUAUUUCAGUAAAGAGGGAAAAUGUUCAGUUUGUAUUCUACCAGGGCAGUCCUAUGGAAGAACAUGGACAACUUCAAGGACAACAGAAAAAUGGGACAGAAAAUGAGAGAGUGACCCUUGUGGCUAAGUCCCCUACAGAAGAAGAGAGUGUCAUGCUUCCUGAAUGUUCAGACCUAAGAGAGGAGCUUGAAAUGCUGGAUUGCCAAAUAGUCAGAACUUUUGAAGAUGCAGGUUCAAAUGAUAAGUGAAAGGUCAAAGAGAGUCACAAGUACAUCAUACAACUUGUGUGGGACAUUCUCAGGUGGAUGAGCAACUGCGAGUAUGUGAUGGGAAAGCAAAGAAAAUUCACACACAGGGAGUGUCUGUGGAUUACUCUGAGCUCAGAGCAAUGAAGAAAGAAAUUGCAACGUUAAGUUAUCUGUGGUACUUGACUUCGGUAUAUUCUAAUGUUGAUGUACUUCUCCCAAAUGGAAAAAUUCUGUUUAAUGUCUCAGUAAUUGCAGCAACUAAGAACAGAAGGAUAGAAGAAAGAAAAUUCUCUUACCAUAUGAAGGAAACCAGACAUAACCUCCACUCUGACUAUGGAUCAUCCCCUUGCACAGUGGGUGAAAAGAGCCUGUUUCAAGGCACCAUUUUCUUUCCAUGGAAACAAGCAUGAGAUUGUUCUAGAGGGUCCUGAUUCUUACUCCUGAUAUUGUCACAAAGCUUCCGAAUAUUUUUGUCACUGUAAAAUGUGAUUUGUUUUUCCUUUAACUUCUUCCUCUAAUUUCUAGUGAAGAGAAGAGAACCUCUGGGAGGUUCUGGGUUCUGCACCUUGGAUGCAGCAACCUUGUUUGUGUGUACAGACUGGAGAAUGAGAUGCUGGAAAGCAGUGCCACAAAAAAAGACCCGGGUUCUGGUUGGUGGUUGAAUCUGAGUCAGCAGUGUCCUGGCAGCCAGGAGGGCCAGCUGUGUCCUGGGGUGCAUGAGGCACAGCAUCGUCAGCCAGGCAAGGGAGGGGUCGUCCUGCUCUGCUCUGCACUGGAGCAGCCUCACCUUGAGUCGUGUGUGCAGUGUUGGGCUCCUCAAUGUAAAAAGACAUUAAGUUAUUAAAGAGUGUCCAAAGGAGGGCAACCAAAAUGGUGAGGGUCCUCGAACUGAAAGCUGUAUGAGGAGCAGCUGAGGUCACUUGGUCUGUUCAGCCUGGAGGAGCUUGAGGGGAGACCUCACUUCAGUCUACAAUGCCCUCAUGAGGGGGAAGAGGAGGGGCAGGCACAGAUCUUUCCUCUGUGGUGCCCAGUGACAGGACCCAAGGGAAUGGUCUGAGGCUGUGUCAGAGGAGGUUUAGCUUGGAUAUUAGAAAAAAGUUCUCUACCCAAAGGGUGGUUAGGCACUGGAAUGGGCUUCCCAUGGAAGUGGUCACAGCACCAAGCCUGAUAAAGUUCAAAAAGUAUUUGGACAAUGCUCUCACACAUGUGGUGGAGUUCUUGGGGCUGUCUUGUCCAAGGCCAGGAGCUGGACUUGAUCCUUGUGAGUCCCUUCCAAGACAGAAUAUUCUGUGAUUUUGUGAGAGGCCAGUACUGAGAUGAGCCUCCCAUCUGUGGCACAGGCUGGCAGAGUCCUGCUUGUGACUCUGUGCCACCUCACAGGGGUGAGGGGAGCACUCACUUGCCCCAUCCUUGUCCCCCAGCAGUCCUUAACAACAGCAGUGGUGCAGGCAUGGGCAGGAUGGGACCACGCUGCUGCCUUGCAGGAGGCCAGCACAAGCAUGUUGGAAGUAGAUGAUCUUUAACGUCCUUUCCAACCCAAACCAUUUCACAGAAUGUGUGGCCAACUGUGUGUAUGUAUGUGUGUGAAUAUUUAUGUAGAGAUAUGCUAUAUAAAUGUGCUCUCUCUGCAUGUGCCUACUGAGAAUAAAGCUUUUGCAUGCUUAUCAAGUGAGUAUUAACUAUUUACAUAGGAUAAACUCU